AUUGAACGCUGGCGGCAUGCCUUACACAUGCCAGUCGAACGGUAACGGGCCUUCGGGUGCCGACGAGUGGCGAACGGGUGAGUAAUACAUCGGAACGUGCCCGAUCGUGGGGGAUAACGAGGCGAAAGCUUUGCUAAUACCGCAUACGAUCUACGGAUGACAGCAGGGGACCGCAAGGCCUUGCGCGGACGGAGCGGCCGAUGGCAGAUUAGGUAGUUGGUGGGAUAAAAGCUUACCAAGCCGACGAUCUGUAGCUGGUCUGAGAGGAUGAUCAGCCACACUGGGACUGAGACACGGCCCAGACUCCUACGGGAGGCAGCAGUGGGGAAUUUUGGACAAUGGGCGCAAGCCUGAUCCAGCCAUGCCGCGUGCAGGAUGAAGGCCUUCGGGUUGUAAACUGCUUUUGUACGGAACGAAAAGCCUUCUUUUAAUACAGGAGGGUCAUGACGGUACCGUAAGAAUAAGCACCGGCUAACUACGUG
rnacentral:rRNA from 1 species